UACGAGAGGCCCAAACGUUGUUCGGAAUUACUGGGCGUAAAGCGUGCGCAGGCGGCUUCUCAAGUCAGGGGUGAAAGCCCAGAGCUCAACUCUGGAAUUGCCUUUGAGACUGAGUGGCUUGAGUACGAGAGAGGUGAGUGGAAUUCCCAGUGUAGAGGUGAAAUUCGUAGAUAUUGGGAAGAACACCGGUGGCGAAGGCGGCUCACUGGCUCGUAACUGACGCUCAUGCACGACAGCGUGGGGAUCAAACAGG
rnacentral:rRNA from 1 species